UGUUAUCAUUUUCUAAUAAAAAUAAUAUUUAUUUUGUGCCAAGUGCAUGGUUUACAGUCUAGAGUUGGUAGAAUCUUAGGGAGUUGAACCUGUGAGACUAUAAGUCACUAAUGAUUGACAGGAUUGAUUUACGUGAAUUCAUGUUUAGGCACAAGACAUUACAGGUUGGAUUUUGCACAUUUCUUUUUCAGGUUANUGCUUUAUUGGUUUGGUCUUAUGUUUGCAUUUGUGGGCUUUCCUUCAGGUCAUAUUGAGAUUGAAAAGAAGUUUGGUGUACUUUCUACCUUAUUUGAAUAUUCGAAACAAUCCAGUUGCCUAACCAUUUGCCUUGAAGCCCUGCAGGGUGUUCUCUUGCUCAAUACUGUUCUCACAGUCAGGAAGCAUCAAGCAAAUUCUCAUGCCAAAAAAGGCUGGGAACAAUUUAC